AUGUUAACUGUCAAAGCACAUGCUAGUGUAUUAUUCAGAGCAUAAAAUUGUAUCAUUAAGCCAUUAAAUUAAAACUUAAAAAAUAACUGCUCUUAUAUUUCUUAAAAACAAAAUCCGGCAAUUAUAAAACGUUCAAUCGUUACCAUUAAGUGCUCUCCUGCGACAUUAAAUUGUUCUUGGUUUUUUGUUUCCUGUGUGUGACCGACGAGCGAACGAGAAAGACUUCAAUUGUUCCUGUGUGUACAUAUUUCUUUUGCACAUUUAUUUUCUUAAAACGAAUCACGAGGAGAUCCCAAUGGAUUGCCUGCGCACGUGAUUUGGAAGUGCCAUCGGAAGGCAGGUAAUGGAAGGUGCAAUGCAUCAAUAUGAACGCACCGUUUUAUUGAUAAUAACGGUGCGUUCCAGCACCUUGCACGCCCUCCUUCCAAGCCGCACAGGUGUGAUCAACAAGGCAAUCCACAGGCCGACGGUGAAACCGCACCACCAGCACCUGCCGUACAGGUUGCAGCUGCCUCCACCGCGGCCAAUGCAAAUAUGCUGCCGCCUGAAGUUAUCGAAGGGCUUCAGGAAAUUGAAGAGAUAUUUCAGGAUGCUCUACGGCAGGUGCAGAUCAUAAAACGUGCCCUAGGCCUUUAGUGUAAAUAAAAACAACAUAUUUGAUAUUAAUCAGUUCAUUGCACUAAUAGACAAAAGCGUUAACAUGUCCACUACUAUAAAAACGACUAGUAGAGCAUUCGUAGAAUCUUUCUGCAUUUUCCGUUUUACUCUACAGAAAACCAAGCAGAAAACCUAGAGAAAACAUGUCCGAACGAAUGAACGUGUUCAACAGAUUGUCUAUUAGUGUUAUUAUACUGUCCUAGUUUUUUUCAACUUCAAAAUGCAACAGAGACGGGACUAGUCAUUCCUACCUAAUUCGGGACCAAGGAAUUCAGUGGUGAUAACCGGUUUUUUUAGUUGGCUCAUGACUAAAAAGAAAAAAAUUUUUUUUUGAAGUUUCCAUUUUUCACUAUUCUGGGAGAUGAGGUGUUUAUCAAUCGAAUAUUGUGAAAAUUGGUAUUGGGGGGUUUUUUGGCACGAGAAAACCGAUUCUGGCAUUUAUUCCAAGAUUUUUUUUUAGUCAUGAGCCAACUAAGAAGAACGGUUAUCACCACUGAAUUCCUUGGCCCCCUCCCCCGAAUUAGGUAGGAAUGACUAGUCC